rnacentral:snoRNA from 1 species
AGGCUAUGAUGUGGGUACUUCCUCAAUGGGUCCUUGAAUCUCUCCCAAGCUUCAUACAAGCUCUCUUGAUCAUGGUGGGCAAAAGUCUUUAUCUCAUUACGAAGCUU